CUCGUAGGCGGUUCGGUAAGUCGGGUGUGAAACUCUAGGCUCAACCUAGAGAGGCCACUCGAUACUGCUGUGACUAGAGUGCGGUAGGGGAGCGGGGAAUUCAUGGUGUAGCGGUGAAAUGCGCAGAUAUCAUGAGGAACACCAGUGGCGAAGGCGCCGCUCUGGGCCGUAACUGACGCUGAGGAGCGAAAGCAUGGGUAGCAAACA
rnacentral:rRNA from 1 species